AAAAAUGACUAGAAGUAGGUUUAAUUUCAGGAGAAAGGUAGAGGGUAGCAGAGAAGCACGAAUCUGUAUUUGCUAUGUUCGGGGGAUUUCUGGACAAAUCCUUUGGGAAUCUCGUUUUUAUUUCUUCAGGUAAGUUGUAGAGGGUUCAAAAAUGAAGAGCUUGAUAUAUAGUACAUUAAUUUUGGUCAAGUAUUGAGGAAGUUAUGAGUGUUGGAAGUUAGGGUAUUGAAUCUGGGAAAUCUGGAAAGAAAAUGCCAAGAGGAAAUAGGCCGAGUCUACAGACCAGGGAACUAGCCAAGACUGUUAUAUUCCAUUGUUGACGUUGAGUGUACUCCGUGACAACGAUGCUGUCGGGAG